CCAGACUCCUACGGGAGGCAGCAGUGAGGAAUAUUGGUCAAUGGGCGCGAGCCUGAACCAGCCAAGCCGCGUGAGGGAGGACGGCCCUAUGGAUUGUAAACCUCUUUUGUCGGGGAGCAAAGAGAUCACGUGUGGUCAAAAGCGAGAGUACCCGAAGAAAAAGCAUCGGCUAACUCCGUGCCAGCAGCCGCGGUAAUACGGAGGAUGCGAGCGUUAUCCGGAUUUAUUGGGUUUAAAGGGUGCGCAGGCGGAAGAUCAAGUCAGGGGUAAAAUGGAGAGGCUCAACCUCUUCGAGCCGUUGAAACUGGUUUUCUUGAGUGAGCGAGAAGUAUGCGGAAUGCGUGGUGUAGCGGUGAAAUGCAUAGAUAUCACGCAGAACUCCGAUUGCGAAGGCAGCAUACCGGCGCUCAACUGACGCUCAUGCACGAAAGUGUGGGUAUCGAACAGGAUUAGAUACCCGAGUA
rnacentral:rRNA from 1 species